AACGAACGCUGGCGGCAGGCUUAACACAUGCAAGUCGAGCGCCCCGCAAGGGGAGCGGCAGCCGGGUGAGUACCGCGUGGGAACGUACCUUUUGGUUCGGAACAACUCCGGGAAACUGGAGCUAAUACCGGAUAAGCCCUAACGGGGAAAGAUUUAUCGCCGAAAGAUCGGCCCGCGUCUGAUUAGCUAGUUGGUGAGGUAACGGCUCACCAAGGCGACGAUCAGUAGCUGGUCUGAGAGGAUGAUCAGCCACACUGGGACUGAGACACGGCCCAGACUCCUACGGGAGGCAGCAGUGGGGAAUAUUGGACAAUGGGCGCAAGCCUGAUCCAGCCAUGCCGCGUGAGUGAUGAAGGCCUUAGGGUUGUAAAGCUCUUUUGUCCGGGAAGAUAAUGACUGUACCGGAAGAAUAAGCCCCGGCUAACUUCGUG
rnacentral:rRNA from 1 species